GAGAGAGAGAGAGAGAGAGAUGCACUUUUAAUCUAAGGCUACUAUUUUAGCCAUUCUAGGCACUCACGAGAGUAAGCAUAGAGAAGGUGAAAAAUCCAUACGAUAAUAACUUUAGGGUGCUAAGAAGUUAUAAAGAGAUGGCUGGCUGCUAUUCUUGCCUUCGUUAUUAGCUCUUGCUAGCAAGAAGCGUGAAUGAUGGUAGUUAAAACUGGCAUUCUGGAAAUAAUCAAAACAACCUUGAAUUGCAUUAAUGCUCAAGUACCAAUGAGUCAAUUAUCUAUGGUUACCAUAUCUAUAAUUCUUCCCAUUAUUAAACCUUUCUUUUUUCAUAAUUACAAUGUUAUUCUAAUUUCAUUGGGACAGAAUUGAACAACAGUAAGUUUCCAUAUACUAUUUAGAAAAGGGUAUUACUGUUAACUAGGACAAAACAACUGACAAAAAAAUUGACCUAAUUAGAUGCUGAAAGAUCAUUUAUUAAAGGAAACUGUAAACAUUAGAUGCUCAAAAACAUAUUGGAGAAGAAAAUUUCUUUCCUCUUCUUUACAGUUUACCGCAGCCCAGGUAUUUCAGCAAUACAAAAGUCAAAAGGCAAUUUUAAAUUCUACUGCAUAAGUAUUUUAUUUGUAAAGUCAAUAAAUUAAAAAGGCCUCUAAAGCUUAAACAUAACAUAUCAGAGACAUUUUUGGUGUAACAGUAUAAGGCUGAUGCUGCUGAGCACAGGUACAUAAGUUAGAAUCUUGAGUGGAAAUUUCAGGGGAAAACGUAGAACACCACCAUCCUUAGGACCUUUUAAGGAAAGAUAAAGUCAGACAUGUACUCUUCCAAGAAAAUAUUUCAGUGGUAUUAUUCAUAGAACUUAACUCUCAUAAAGCGAUCCUAUGAUAGAAAGAAUAUAGAUGAUUUCAACUCAAAAGAUAAAUCAAAUCCUAUUAGUAAGCAAAUCCAACGAAAUCAACCAAAAAAAAAAAAUAAAGUUAACUCACGUACACUGACAAGAUUGCAGGAAAAGCUAUAAUGCAAUAGUACAAGUGACCAAUUUGCAUAUCUGAUACAGCAUAAUCUUAGAUACAACUAAUUGAAAUUGGCCAUAGCAUAUCCAUUACCUUCCAAGCAAAUCCCUCACUUUGACACCAAAAAAAUUUCUGGUUUCUUAGCUUUACUUGGUGUGUUAGCAUUGGAAGAGGAAUUAACAGCUGCUGUCGCUGACACCUUUGCAGCUUCCCGUGCUCUCUUAUCAAGCUGGAUGAGACUCCGUGUGGCCAAUAUGGCUUGUGGAGCCAAGUCAUGAGACCCUCUUGCAUACAACCGCCUAACUGCCACAGAUGCUGCAUCCUUAACAUCUUGGGAAUUCAAAGGCCCCAACAAACAAUGUCCCAAAAGCCUCAAUAAUGGCUGCAAAAUCUCCCAAGGCAAUGGAAUCCGCACACCCUUUAACUCCGAAUGCUCUGUGCCAUUUCCUUCUAUCUCCAAUUUCUCCAUUUCCUCCACAACAUCAAUCUCACGCUCAUUAUUGUCAUGGCCAUUACUUAAGCUCCUACCCUCCAAAAAAUACCCACCAUUAUUUUCAUUUCCAUGUCCAUUUUGGAUUUCAACUUGUCUCCCACCAUCUAAUUUGUCUUUACAAGCACAAUCCUGCCCAGCCCAAGCACUUGCAUAUUUACACAAUUCAACCUUAGACCAACUCGGCAUUUGCGAGAUCUGCUUGAAAUAACAAUCAAGUGCAACCCCAACAAUAACCGGCCGCUUUGUAGACUUCACCGCGAUCUGGGGUUCAAGUGGCGGCGACAAAACCCCAACGGAUGGUCGAGAAUUAUCAAACCCAUGUGGAUUUUGCUUGUUCCGAGGAGUAUGGUAAAGCGACGGCUGUGAAAGAUCAGGAAUCUGGACGAGAACCGGCUUACCGGCACGAGAUUUCACCUCCGACGAAUAGAUGGCAAGGAGAACAGCCUCGAAACCAGCCAGAGAAGGAGUGGAAGCAGAGUCUGAAGAGUGGAUCCGAGAGAGAUACAACCCCAAAAGAAGAGGAAGAAAAGAGAGGACAAUGAGACGAAGAUGAGGAUCAGAAGAAAGAUAGGUAUCGUAAAGCCAUUGACAGAGAGGAUCAGGGCCAGAACCAGAGGUAGAAGAAGAAAGAGCAGACGAGAGAAGAGUAUAAGCGUCGAAGGAGGAGAGGAAGGAAAGUGCAGGGCGGUCGGAAUCAGCAAGAGAAGAUAGAGAGAAGGAAGAGACGGGAUCGGAAUGGAGGAGAGAGGAAAGGGAAAGGAUGCGAGCGCGAGCUUUGGAGAUGGAUUCCCACCAUGACUGCAUAGGGUCGGCGGCAGUGGUGGCAAUAGAUGGGUGGGGGGUGGAGGAGGAGGAUGAGGGAGAGUAAUUGUUAAGGUUGUUCAAGUCCAUGAGAGGAGGAGAAGGCGUUUACUGUUGAAGACUG
rnacentral:misc_RNA from 1 species